UACGGAGGGUGCGAGCGUUGUCCGGAAUCAUUGGGUUUAAAGGGAGCGUAGGUGGCCUUAUAAGUCAGUGGUGAAAUCUUCGAGCUUAACUCGGAAAUUGCCAUUGAUACUGUAGGGCUUGAGUAUAGUUGCCGUUGGCGGAAUAUGACAUGUAGUGGUGAAAUACAUAGAGAUGUCAUAGAACACCGAUUGCGAAGGCAGCUGACGAAACUAUAGCUGACACUGAGGCUCGAAAGUGCGGGGAUCAAACAGG
rnacentral:rRNA from 1 species